UGACAGCUGUUCCCCAUGCAUUGUGUAGUCUUCAGAUGUAUGGUUUUAUGCUGUCUAAAGUAAACCUGUGUUUGAGUCUUUUCACUCUCCUUUGUUAAUUUGCUUUCAUAAGGCAGAUCUUUUACUCAUUGGAGAAUUUUGCAGGCUCAUACAACU